UGGCCUUGGCUUUCCAGAUCUGUUUUUCAGUUCCAUAAGGGAACUUUUUACCCUUUGCGCUAAAUAGAUCAACAGUGAUAAUGAUGGGGAUGGCAAAAUAGUGCAAGGGUUAAGGAUCAUUGUCAGGUCCUGAUCCUGCAAUGGAAUUCAAUAUCCCAGACCUGCAAUGUAGAUUGCUAUGUUGCAGGGGUAUGGACUAGCAAAUCCUGGCACAGGAGUGGGGCUGUAUAUUGCAAGCUCAUUGCAGCAGGGACAGUUUGUGUUUAUUCUAUAAAAUGCAUACACACUCUUGAGUAUUAAUGAUAAAAAAUAAUAUUAAAACCGGUAUACUUUUA